rnacentral:rRNA from 1 species
AACGAACGCUGGCGGCGGGUCUUAAACAUGCAAGUCGAACGGUCAAAAUGAAGGUGCUUGCACCUGAAAGACGAGUGGCGGACGGGUGCGUAAUACGUAGGAACCUGCCUCGAAGAGGGGGACAACCACGGGAAACUGUGGCUAAUACCCCACAAUACUGCAAGGUUAAAGGAUGGAUACAUCCGCUUCGAGAUGGGCCUGCGGGCUAUCAGCUUGUUGGUGAGGUAAUGGCUUACCAAGGCGACGACGGCUAUCCGGCCUGAGAGGGCGAUCGGACACACUGGCACUGAGACACGGGCCAG